rnacentral:lncRNA from 1 species
AUGUAUACUAUAUCACACGGGAUAACGGACAACUUCACCUCAAAGUCUUUUAAUCCUUUAUCACUGAAUACGUUCACUGUCUGAGCAUAGUAGAAAGUAAACGCCAUUCUACCAUCCAACAGCAUGCAAUAUCCGUAUAUUUAUUCUCCUUGAAUGUUAAUUGUCUCGUGUUAGUUUCAAAUUUUCAAUGGAUCUUGGUUGUAUCAUCAUUUGGGCUUGUUGAGCCUUUUUCUCGAUUAGAACAAUAUCGUACGGUUGCGCUUCAAUAUGCACUUCUCUAAAACUUUUUAUAUCGGACAUGAUAUUUUUGAUAGAGGCAUUGAUCUUAAAUGAAAGAGAAAGUUGCCCCUCGUUUUCUAACAGCGAGUGUAGAAAUUUAUCUUUGCUAUUUACGUCUUUUUGUAUCUGCUUCAUUGAAAGAAACAACUGAAGGUCCGUCGCAUGUUGCUUGAUGUUCAAAAUAUUUUUCUGGCAUUCUGCUAUUUCUUUUUCCUUAAUCUCUAAGGAUGAAACUAGUUGACAAAUUUUCGAGUUUCCUUUAUCGACCUCAAAGAGUUGUUUCAGUGAAUCUUUUUGUAGUUUGUCGAGAUGGUGGUUGAUCAUUAUUCGGGUCUUCUUUAUUUCUUUUUCUAUUUCCAUUCUCUUUUCUUUCAAAUUCGACCGGUUUUCCUGUAUAUGCUGACGAACGUUUUGUAGAUUUUCGGCAACUUCAACUAAUGUUUCCUCUAUCUCGCAGAGGGCAUUGGAGGUUUUGACAUUAUGAAUGACGUCAUCUAAAUUUACAAUAUCCCGGCAUUCUGCGUGGCUUCUCACUAUGCACUUGCUGCAGCAGGGACAUUCGUGCUUCUUGCAAUAAAUUUGAAACUUUUCAUCGUGUUUGCUACAAUACAGAGUAAUUUUCAGUACAUCAGAUGGGAAUUUCUGGUAUUCAAUAAUAGGAAUCACUUUAUGUCUUCUCGAUGCUUUAGACAAACCAUGAUGUUCCUGGCAUUCUUUGCAGAGUCCCUCGUCACAUUCUGUACACCAGACUAUGGAUGGUUUGUUAAUAUGACGGACGUCACCAACUUCACAACUUUG